GCAUAUGAGGAUGUUCUGUUUGCAGCAUCUGUUACUCCAUAGACUAGCAGGAGUCAUCUGAUGUGGCUGGCUAGACAUGUGUUCCUUUGUUCCUUCAUCAUUCUAUGUCUCUCCUUCCUAAACUGUGAGUUUGUUGGAAGAUGAUGAUCAUCCCAUGGUAUAUAGAAACCUACUCUUCUUAUGCAUCUGAAUAUUGUAGGAAUUUGCUUAAAUUGUGUAAUUCUUAAUUCUGAU
rnacentral:sRNA from 1 species